UACGUAGGGGGCAAGCGUUAUCCGGAUUUACUGGGUGUAAAGGGAGCGUAGACGGCAUGGCAAGCCAGAUGUGAAAUACCGGGGCUCAACCCCGGGGCUGCAUUUGGAACUGUUAAGCUGGAGUGUCGGAGAGGCAGGCGGAAUUCCUAGUGUAGCGGUGAAAUGCGUAGAUAUUAGGAGGAACACCAGUGGCGAAGGCGGCCUGCUGGACGAUAACUGACGUUGAGGCUCGAAAGCGUGGGGAGCAAACAGG
rnacentral:rRNA from 1 species